rnacentral:rRNA from 1 species
UACGUAGGUGGCAAGCGUUGUUCGGAAUUAUUGGGCGUAAAGGGCGCGUAGGCGGCCUUGUAAGUCAGCUGUGAAAGCCCGGGGCUCAACCCCGGAGGGUCGGCUGAUACUGCGAGGCUAGAGUACGGAAGAGGUAGCUGGAAUUCCCGGUGUAGCGGUGAAAUGCGUAGAGAUCGGGAGGAACAUCAGUUGCGAAGGCGGCUCUCUGGACCAGCACUGACACUGAGGCACGAAAGCGUGGGGAGCAAACAGG